rnacentral:rRNA from 1 species
UGGGGAAUAUUGCACAAUGGGGGAAACCCUGAUGCAGCGACGCCGCGUGAGUGAAGAAGUAUUUCGGUAUGUAAAGCUCUAUCAGCAGGGAAGAAAAUGACGGUACCUGACUAAGAAGCCCCGGCUAACUACGUGCCAGCAGCCGCGGUAAUACGUAGGGGGCAAGCGUUAUCCGGAUUUACUGGGUGUAAAGGGAGCGUAGGUGGCAUGGUAAGCCAGAAGUGAAAACCCGGGGCUCAACCCCGCGGAUUGCUUUUGGAACUAUCAGGCUGGAGUGCUGGAGGGGUAAGCGGAAUUCCUAGUGUAGCGGUGAAAUGCGUAGAUAUUAGGAGGAACACCGGUGGCGAAGGCGGCUUACUGGACAGAAACUGACACUGAGGCUCGAAAGCGUGGGGAGCAAACAGG